ACAUUGAAAUACCUGUUCUCGUACGAUCGCCGAAGUUAAACAACGUCGAGUCUGUUUAGUAACUAGAUGGGUGACCACUUGGGAAUACCAGG